rnacentral:rRNA from 1 species
AGUGAACGCUGGCGGUAGGCCUAACACAUGCAAGUCGAACGGCAGCACAGGAGAGCUUGCUCUCUGGGUGGCGAGUGGCGGACGGGUGAGGAAUACAUCGGAAUCUACUCUGUCGUGGGGAUAACGUAGGGAAACUUACGCUAAUACCGCAUACGACCUACGGGUGAAAGCAGGGGACCUUCGGGCCUUGCGCGAUUGAAUGAGCAGAUGUCGGAUUAGCUAGUUGGCGGGGUAAAGGCCCACCAAGGCUACGAGCCGUAGCUGGUCUGAGAGGAUGAUCAGCCACACUGGAACUGAGACACGGUCCAGACUCCUACGGGAGGCAGCAGUGGGGAAUAUUGGACAAUGGGCGCAAGCCUGAUCCAGCCAUACCGCGUGGGUGAAGAAGGCCUUCGGGUUGUAAAGCCCUUUUGUUGGGAAAGAAAUCCAGCUGGCUAAUACCCGGUUGGGAUGACGGUACCCAAAGAAUAAGCACCGGCUAACUUCGUGCCAGCAGCCGCCGUAA